CGAGUGCCAACAGAUGAAGAUCUUCAAAGGAAUAGGAAGAGGUCAACCUGAGGGAAGACUUCCUGAGGAGGAACUACUGAAACUACUGAAGGAACUACUGAAGACAGAGAGGAAGAGAGCGCGGUCGCAAGGAGAACACAUACAGAUCAGGAGUGUCAGACAUCCCAGUGGUGGGCCAUUUGCUACUCUCCAUCUGAUGAACUGUACCAUCUCUCCAUCUGAUGAACUGUACCAUCUCUCCAUCUGAUGAACUGUACCAUCUCUCCAUCUCUCCAUCUGAUGAUCUGUACCAUCUCUCCAUCUGAUGAUCUGUACCAUCUCUCCAUCUGAUGAUCUGUACCAUCUCUCCAUCUGAUGAACUGUACCAUCUCUCCAUCUGAUGAACUGUACCAUCUCUCAAUCUCUCCAUCUGAUGAACUGUACCAUCUCUCCAUCUGAUGAUCUGUACCACCUCUCCAUCUCUCCAUCUGAUGAUCUGUACCAUCUCUCCAUCUGAUGAACUGUACCAUCUCUCCAUCUGAUGAACUGUACCAUCUCUCCAUCUGAUGAUCUGUACCAUCUCUCCAUCUGAUGAACUGUACCAUCUCUCCAUCUGAUGAACUGUACCACCUCUCCAUCUCUCCAUCUGAUGAACUGUACCAUCUCUCCAUCUCUCCAUCUGAUGAACUGUAC
ensembl:lncRNA